rnacentral:rRNA from 1 species
CAACGCCGCGUGGAGGACGAAGGUCUUCGGAUCGUAAACUCCUGUCAGAUGGGACGAAGGGAUCAGGGUAAAUAAUCCUGAUUCUUGACGGUACUAUCAGAGGAAGCCCCGGCUAACUCCGUGCCAGCAGCCGCGGUAAUACGGAGGGGGCGAGCGUUAUUCGGAAUUAUUGGGCGUAAAGGGCGCGUAGGCGGCUUGGCAAGUCAAAGGUGAAAUCCCUCGGCUCAACUGAGGAACUGCCUUUGAAACUGCCUGGCUUGAGGCCGGGAGGGGGUAGCGGAAUUCCCAGUGUAGCGGUGAAAUGCGUAGAUAUUGGGAGGAACACCAGUGGCGAAGGCGGCUACCUGGACCGGUUCUGACGCUGAUGCGCGAAAGCGUGGGUAGCAAACAGGAUUAGAUACCCUGGUAGUCCACGCUGUAAACGAUGGGUGCUCGGUGUCGCGGGUAUCGACCCCUGCGGUGCCUUAGCUAACGCGUUAAGCACCCCGCCUGGGGAGUACGGUCGCAAGGCUG